rnacentral:rRNA from 1 species
GAUGAACGCUGGCGGCGUGCCUAACCAAUGCAGGUCGACCAACAGACGAGGAGCUUUCUUCUCUGACCUUAGGGGGGGACGGGGGAGUAACCCGGGGAAAACCUACCUUUAAGACUGGGUAAAAUUCGGGAAACCGGGGCCAAAACCGGAAAAAAAUAUUGACCCCAUGGGUUAAUUGGUAAAAUUGGGUUUUUUGGUAUUUACUGAAGGAUUCGCGCCGCAUUAGCUAGUUGGUUAGGUAACGGCUUACCAAGGCAACGAUGCGUAGCCGACCUGAGAGGGUGAUCGGCCACACUGGAACUGAGACACGGUCCAGACUCCUACGGGAGGCAGCAGUAGGGAAUCUUCCGCAAUGGGCGAAAGCUUGACGGAGCAACGCCGCGUGAGUGAUGAAGGUCUUCGGAUCGUAAAACUCUGUUAUUAGGGAAGAACAAAUGUGUAAGUAACUAUGCACGUCUUGACGGUACCUAAUCAGAAAGCCACGGCUAACUACGUG